rnacentral:lncRNA from 1 species
CUGGUUGUGAGCAACUGGCUCGGCAGAGAUGGUUGUGCCAUCUAAUAAGUGGUGUCAUCGCUGAAGACACCAGUUAACAAUACUAUCAUUACAUUGUCAUCAGCUUGGAAAGGAGCAAAAUGGCCCUGCCAUGUCGACUGAUCAGAGGUACUAUUUUGAGGCACUGGCCCACAUUGGAUUAACUAGGUCAACUAGCCUUUGUACAGUAAUUACCAUUUGAUGGCUUUAAAUACUAUCCUUUCAAUGAAGAUGCACCUUGAAAAGAGAUGAGCAGCUUCAAUCUAGCCACACAGUAGGACUAAGGGCACAUGCAUUUUGCAGUCCUCCUGAAGUGUGACUUUGGGAUUAGGUGAUAUUUAUUAGGUGGAUGGAGCUCAAUCUAAGGACUUUGCCUUGAUUCGCUGAUUCUUCAGAGGGGCUGUUGGUGACCCUGCCUGCUCAGCCUGGCUCGGGGACAUCCCUCUGUCAACAGUAGUUCCUCAUUUGAAGUUGUUAGCUCUCUGCUUCUCUCCUUCAUGUCUCAGUACAGUCACCACAUGACGAGCACUUCCUAAGUGUUAGUUUACACUCAUUGUUCCUGUUUCUCGAGCAGCUCAUUCAUAAUUAUUUGUUGAAAUAUGUGCUGUAGUAGCUGGAGCUGCAACCAGCUGAAAU